CAGAAUUCUAGCAGGGCUCUCCUGCUAUUCAGAAAGUUACAACUGUGCCCUCUCCAGCAAAGUCUGGAUCUCAGCCAGCCCUAAGAGUGUGUCUGGGUCUUGGAGGAGCUCUUUUUGAGAUGCUGUAUCUCAGCCCUAGCAGGUGCAAGCCCAGAGGCAGUCUAUACCCCAACUCAACUGGCUGGUCCUCAGUGCUGCCUGCUUCUGUGCCCAACUUAGAACUACGCAUCUGCUGCCUCUUGGUAACAUGUCAUUAUAACCCGAAGUGGACAAAAGCAAGUGAAGGCAUUGAAACAAAUCAUUCAAAGUCGGAAACAGGGUUUGAUGGGACAUCUAUAGCAUGUAGAAAUAUUUAUGAAAAAUGGGGAAAAGCCUGCAGGGAGCAUAGUGGGGCGAUUCCUUAUAAAAUCACUUGGAAGUGCUGGGGGUAAGUGAUGUAAGCAUGAGGGAGGCUGGAACUCGCUUGAAAAGGCAUACAAGGCAAGAUGCAUGUGGACAGAUCACACGCUUCCAGGCAUUAUCUUGCAUGUAGAAAAGUGGGAUGCUCAUUUUGUGCCUCCCUCAGAGGAGAUAUCUGAGCACAUGCAAGUAUCUGGAUAUCACCUUCUGGGCCACAGUGAGGAACUCAAGGAGUUGAAAUGGUUUCUGGAAACUCCACCCUCAUAUUUCUGUGCUGUGGGUACUUUGGACCCUGAUGGAAAGGAAAUAGCUGGGAGCUUCCUCUGCCCUGUCCUCUGUCUCAAGACAUCUGUGGAGGAAAGAGGAGUGUGAGCUUCUUCAUCAGCCCUAACCCUGCCAACCACUCCUGCCUCACUGAAUGUGCCAACGGAUUGCUCAGCUCCAACCAAGGAAAAGAAGAAGGAAGUUGGAUACUUUAUACCCUCUACAUUGUCCAUUAGCAACACAACCUAGAGCUAGGAUGGAGAAAGAAAAUGCCAAAAUGCUAAUGAAAAAUGUUCAGAUGUAUCACAUAUUAAGCAUACAUGAUCUCAAAUAUUUUGCCUGAUUUAUGCUAUGCAUGCUAUUUUCCAUGUUGUGUAGGCUCUGGUGCUAGUCUACAUUUAUAGAAAUCUCCAUCAGCUGUACAAAUGGCAAUUUAAAUACAUUUAACUAUGUGCUAAUAAUCUCAUAAUACAAUUUAUCAUGUAUGAUUGGCAGAAGAAAUUAUUUGGGGCAAAAGCUAUGAUUGUAUUGUUGUAAGUUAUUAUGAAUGCUGGGCAGUGUAGGGCAUGGCACUUGCUACCACCUCCCAGAAAUGUGUAAGGGCUGUUGAAGGUGCCUUGUUCUUCUUUCUUCUUCAGUAUAAGCAAAGCUAUUUAUAUCAUAAAGCUGAAACUUGAAAUUCCACCCUUGCCUAUUCUUUUUCCUCAGAAAGAUGUCUUUCUUUCUAAGAAUAUAUUGCA
rnacentral:lncRNA from 1 species